rnacentral:rRNA from 1 species
CACGAAUUAAGACGAGCUAAUUAAUUGUAAAUGUUAGUUUCCGGGAUGUAGCAAAAUUACGUCAAACUGUUAAUUAGGGGCGAUAGGCUUAUCAAGUCUUAUUAUAACUUGUUGUUUACGAAAUGUAUUUAGUACGUGUCCAACUAAAGAGUGCAAAGAUUCUUUAGAGUUAUUAAAGUUAAAAUGACGUGUGUGUCUAGUUAUAACUAACAGACAGUAUAUAAAUAGAAUAUCAUUCUUGUAAAGUUAUUAAUUUUAGUAAACUGUAUGAAAAUAUGGUGCAAUAUUAAUAAUGUUAUUAUAAGUAACUAAAAUAAAUAUUUUUUAUGAACUCGGCAACAUUUUCUCCAACUGUUUAUCAAAAACAUAGCUAGUAGUAGUCAAUUAUUAGUGUUUUCUGCUCAAUGAGUAUUAAAUGGCCGCAGUACCCUGACUGUGCUAAGGUAGCAUAAUCAAUUGGCUUGUAAUUUAAGUCUUGUAUGAAUGAAAACAUGAGGGAAACACUGUAUUAAAAGUAUGUUAUUAAAUUACUUUGUAAGUGAAAAUACUUACAGAAAACUAUUAGACGAGAAGACCCUAGAAAUUUUUAGUACUUUGUAGUGGUGGUUUUUGUUGGGGCAACAUUGUAACACACAAACUUACAAUCAAUUACAAGAAACUUAUUGUUAGAUUAAAUUACUCUAGGGAUAACAGCGUAAUGUAUUAACGUUUGCGACCUCGAUGUUGGAUUAGGAAAUAUACGCUUAGAA